UACGGAGGGUGCAAGCGUUAUCCGGAUUCACUGGGUUUAAAGGGUGCGUAGGCGGUCUUUUAAGUCAGUGCUGAAAUACUCCAGCUUAACUGGAGGGGUGGCAUUGAUACUGGAAGACUUGAGUAUAGUUGAGGUAGGCGGAAUUGACGGUGUAGCGGUGAAAUGCUUAGAUAUCGUCAAGAACACCGAUAGUGAAGACAGCUUACUAAACUAUAACUGACGCUGAGGCACGAAAGUGUGGGGAUCAAACAGG
rnacentral:rRNA from 1 species